GAUGAACGCUGGCGGCGUGCUUAACACAUGCAAGUCGAACGGAAAGGCCCAAGAUUGCUUGGGUACUCGAGUGGCGAACGGGUGAGUAACACGUGGGUGAUCUGCCCUGCACUUCGGGAUAAGCCUGGGAAAAUGGGUCUAAUACCGGAUAGGACGAUGGUUUGGAAGCCAUUGUGGAAAGUUUUUUCGGUGUGGGAUGAGCUCGCGGCCUAUCAUCUUGGCGGUGGGGUGAUGGCCUACCCAGGCGUCGCCGGGUAGCCGGCCUGAGAGGUUGUACGGCCACGUUUAGACUGUUAUACGUCCCAGGUUCCUACAGGAGGCAGCAGUGGGGAAUAUUGCACAAUAGUCGCAAGCCUGAUGCAGCGACGCCGCCUGGGGGAUGAUGGCCUUCAGGUUGUAGACUCCUUUCGCUAGGGACGAAGCGUUUUUGUGACGGUACCUGGAGAAGAAGCACCGGCUAACUACGUG
rnacentral:rRNA from 1 species